rfam:Trichobilharzia regenti genome assembly, scaffold: TRE_scaffold0002844
GUACUGCUGAAGAGUCCCAAACUGGGACGAAAUAGUUGUCCAGUAC